AGCCUAUUCUAGCCCCCAAUCAACCCCCAAUCAAAAACCUACCGACCCCCACUAAACUAAAACAUUACCCAUCAACCUAGUAUUGGUGAUAGAAAAGUACCAACCUGGGCGCUAUAGAAAAAGUACCGUAAGGGAAAGAUGAAAUAGUAAUGAAAAUCAAGCAACAUACAGCAAAGAUAUAUCCUUGUACCUCUUGCAUCAUGGUUUAGCGAGAAUUGAACAAGCAAAACGAAUUUAAGCUUGUCACCCCGAAACCUAUGCGAGCUACUUACAAGCAGUUACCCUGAACAAACCCGUCUCUGUCGCAAAAGAGUGGGAAGACUUGUUAGUAGAGGUGAAAAGCCAAUCGAGCUAGGUGAUAGCUGGUUGCCUGCAAGACGAAUCUAAGUUCUCCCUUAACUCAUACCCACCGGGCAACUACCCCAACCCUUAUGUAACGAGCUAAGAGCUAUUUAAAGGGGGUACAGCCCCUUUAAAAAAGGACACAACCUCCACUAGCGGAUAANCCCCCCCCCCCCAUAAAUAAGUUGUGGGCCCUAAAGCAGCCACCCUUAAAGAGUGCGUCAAAGCUCUAAAAAGACAAAAAUCCAAUAAACAACGCGACUCCCUAUACCCCCAACAGGCCAACCUAUUCUUAUAGAUGAAUUAAUGCUAGAAUGAGUAACCAGGACAUCCCGUCCCCUCAAGCGCAAACUUGUAUUCACCAUUAACAGCACAGAAAUACUAACAUCCACAACACAAGCUCAAGUAUUACUUAUACCCUGUCAACCCAACUCAGGAGCGCACACUAGGAUGAUUAAAACCUGCAAAAGGAAUUCGGCAAAUCAAAGGCCCGACUGUUUACCAAAAACAUAGCCUUCAGCCAAACUAGUAUUGAAGGUGAUGCCUGCCCAGUGACACCACGUUUAACGGCCGCGGUAUCCUAACCGUGCGAAGGUAGCGCAAUCAAUUGUCCCAUAAAUCGAGACCUGUAUGAACGGCUAAACGAGGUCUUAACUGUCUCCUGCAGGUAAUCAGUGAAACUGAUCUCCCUGUACAAAAGCAGGGAUAAUCACAUAAGACGAGAAGACCCUGUGGAACUUCAAUAUCAAUGGUCACAACACAUCAAACAAAAACCUAUCAGGCCCACCAACUUACAACACUGACCAGCAUAUUUCGGUUGGGGCGACCUUGGAGAAAAACAAACCCUCCAAAGAUAAGACCAAAUCCCUUAACUAAGAGCAACACCUCAAUGUGCAAAUAGCAACCAGACCCAAUAUAAUUGACCAAUGAACCUAGCUACCCCAGGGAUAACAGCGCAAUCUCCCCCAAGAGCCCUUAUCGACGGGGAAGUUUACGACCUCGAUGUUGGAUCAGGACAUCCUAGUGGUGCAGCUGCUACCAAGGGUUCGUUUGUUCAACGAUUAAUAGUCCUACGUGAUCUGAGUUCAGACCGGAGCAAUCCAGGUCGGUUUCUAUCUAUGAUUAACCCUUCCUAGUACGAAAGGACCGGAAGGGUAGGGCCAAUACCUCAAGCACGCCCUUUCUUUAAGUGAUGAACUCAACUAAAUCACCAAAAGACUCCACCAUAUGUCCCAGAAAAGGACC
rnacentral:rRNA from 1 species